rnacentral:rRNA from 1 species
UACAGAGGGUGCAAGCGUUAAUCGGAAUUACUGGGCGUAAAGCGUGUGUAGGUGGUUAGGUAAGUUAGAUGUGAAAUCCCUGGGCUUAACCUGGGAACUGCGUUUAAAACUGUUUAACUAGAGUAUUGUAGAGGAUAGUGGAAUUUCCAGUGUAGCGGUGAAAUGCGUAGAUAUUGGAAGGAACACCAGUGGCGAAGGCGACUAUCUGGGCAGAUACUGACACUGAGACACGAGAGCAUGGGGAGCAAACAGG